UAGGUGAAUGCCCGCAAGUUUAGGCGCUUAGCUGUUAACUAAGAGUUCAAGGGAUCGAGGCCCUUUCAUCUAG
rnacentral:tRNA from 1 species